rnacentral:ribozyme from 1 species
AACGGUGAAGCUAGGCCACAGCAGAAGCACUCAUGGCACGCCCUGGUCAGAUGCCAACGAAUCUGUGAAUCCUGCU